GACGAACGCUGGCGGCGUGCUUAACACAUGCAAGUCGAACGCUGAAGCUUGGUGCUUGCACUGGGUGGAUGAGUGGCGAACGGGUGAGUAAUACGUGAGUAACCUGCCCUUGUCUCUGGGAUAAGCCUGGGAAACUGGGUCUAAUACUGGAUACGACAUGCCACUGCAUGGUGGUGUGUGGAAAGGGUUUUACUGGUUUUGGAUGGGCUCACGGCCUAUCAGCUUGUUGGUGGGGUAAUGGCCUACCAAGGCGACGACGGGUAGCCGGCCUGAGAGGGUGACCGGCCACACUGGGACUGAGACACGGCCCAGACUCCUACGGGAGGCAGCAGUGGGGAAUAUUGCACAAUGGGCGGAAGCCUGAUGCAGCGACGCCGCGUGAGGGAUGACGGCCUUCGGGUUGUAAACCUCUUUCAGCACGGAAGAAGCGAGAGUGACGGUACGUGCAGAAGAAGCGCCGGCUAACUACGUG
rnacentral:rRNA from 1 species